rnacentral:rRNA from 1 species
CCUACGGGUGGCAGCAGUGAGGAAUAUUGGUCAAUGGGCGCGAGCCUGAACCAGCCAAGUAGCGUGAAGGAUGACUGCCCUACGGGUUGUAAACUUCUUUUAUAAAGGAAUAAAGUGAGGCACGUGUGCCUUUUUGUAUGUACUUUAUGAAUAAGGAUCGGCUAAUUCCGUGCCAGCAGCCGCGGUAAUACGGAGGGUCCGAGCGUUAUCCGGAUUUAUUGGGUUUAAAGGGAGCGUAGAUGGGUUGUUAAGUCAGUUGUGAAAGUGUGUGGCUCAACCAUGAAAUUGCAAUUGAUACUGGCAGGCUUGAGUACAGUUGAGGUAGGCGGAAUUCGUGGUGUAGCGGUGAAAUGCUUAGAUAUCACGAAGAACUCCGAUUGCGAAGGCAGCUUACUAAACUGCCACUGACAUUGAUGCUCGAAAGUGUGGGUAUCAAACAGGAUUAGAUACCCGAGUAGUC